ACCCUCCCCCCAUACUCUCUCGCUCCAGCUCGCGACCUGGAGGCUCCGCCCCAGCCCGAGACUCGGCGAGGUCUGACCCCUGAGCGAGACCCCAUUUGCACCCCUUCCGCAAGGAAUGACCCCUGCUGUGUUCUGCAGCCUAGACAGCUACACACCUUGACCUGGGUGUUUCCUCAGGGAGCCAGCACCAAGGUCACUACCUUGUGCCUGCAGGAAGUGUGAGGCCACCAGGUUCAAGAUGCUAGCAUGAUGCCAACCGGACUUCCCUGGGCAGACAACCCCACCAAUGUAUCCUGGAGCCCCACUUCCCCAGAGCCCUGCCCCACUAGACUAGGAAGAAGAGAUACAGGUUGGGAGUAUGGAUCCACCUGUCAACGCCCAUAUUCAGCGGGGAAACAGUUACAGAAGCCAGGCCUUCUAUCUUCUGCACCCUAUAAUGACGCUGGGUCCAUACUCCCAGAAGGUUAAAGAAUUGGAAAGCUAUCAGGGGAGGGAAUGGGAUAUAGAGUUCUGGUGGUGGGAAUUGUGUGGAAUUGUACCCCUCUUAUCCUAUGGUCCUGUCAG